CAGCCGCCGCGGGAAUACGGAGGGUGCAAGCGUUAAUCGGAAUUACUGGGCGUAAAGCGCACGCAGGCGGUCUGACAAGUCAGAUGUGAAAUCCCCGGGCUUAACCUGGGAACUGCAUCCAAAACUGGCAAGCUAGAGUAUGGUAGAGGGUGGUGGAAUUUCCUGUGUAGAGGUGAAAUGCGUAGAUAUAGGAAGGAACACCAGUGGCGAAGGCGACCACCUGGACUGAUACUGACACUGAGGUGCGAAAGCGUGGGGAGCAAACAGGAUUAGAUACCCCAGUAGUCCCUGUCUCUUAUAA
rnacentral:rRNA from 1 species